rnacentral:tRNA from 1 species
UGGCUUCCUCGGCGGCGAGCGCCUCGGCCGCUUCCCGCGCCGCUCGGCAACAGGGCAGUUCCACUUCGCCGACGCCGU